rnacentral:rRNA from 1 species
AGUGAACGCUGGCGGUAGGCCUAACACAUGCAAGUCGAACGGCAGCACAGUAAGAGCUUGCUCUUACGGGUGGCGAGUGGCGGACGGGUGAGGAAUACAUCGGAAUCUACUUUUUCGUGGGGGAUAACGUAGGGAAACUUACGCUAAUAACGCAUACGACCUACGGGUGAAAGCAGGGGAUCUUCGGACCUUGCGCGAUUCAAUGAGCCGAUGUCGGUUUAGCUAGUUGGCGGGGGAACGGCCCACCAAGGCGACGAUCCGUAACUGGUCUGAGAGGAUGUUUAGCCACACAGGAACGUAGACACGGGCAAGACACCUACGGGAGGCAGCAGUGGGUAAUAGUGGACGAUGGGCGCAAGCCUAUUCCAUCCAUACCGCGUGGUUGAAGAAGGCCUUCGGGUUGUAAAGCCCUUUGGUGGGGAAAGAAAAGCAGCAGGUUAAUACCCCGCUGUUCUGACGGUACCCAAAGAAUAAGCACCGGCUAACUUCGUG